rnacentral:rRNA from 1 species
AUUGAACGCUGGCGGCAUGCCUUACACAUGCAAGUCGAACGGCAGCACGGGAGCAAUCCUGGUGGCGAGUGGCGAACGGGUGAGUAAUGUAUCGGAACGUGCCCAGUCGUGGGGGAUAACGUAGCGAAAGCUACGCUAAUACCGCAUACGAUCUGUGGAUGAAAGCGGGGGACCGUAAGGCCUCGCGCGAUUGGAGCGGCCGAUAUCAGAUUAGGUAGUUGGUGGGGUAAAAGCCUACCAAGCCGACGAUCUGUAGCUGGUCUGAGAGGACGACCAGCCACACGGGGACUGAGACACGGCCCAGAGUCCUACGGGAGGCAGCAGUGGGGAAUUUUGGACAAUGGGCGCAAGCCUGAUCCAGCAAUGCCGCGUGCAGGAUGAAGGCCUUCGGGUUGUAAACUGCUUUUGUACGGAGCGAAAAGGCUCUCUCUAAUACAGGGGGCUCAUGACGGUACCGUAAGAAUAAGCACCGGCUAACUACGUGCCAGCCGCCGCCGUAA